GUGCUCGCUUCGGCAGCACAUAUACUAAAAU
rnacentral:ncRNA from 2 species